UACGUAGGGUGCAAGCGUUAAUCGGAAUUACUGGGCGUAAAGGGUGCGCAGGCGGUUAUAUAAGACAGAUGUGAAAUCCCCCGGGCUCAACCUGGGAACUGCGUUUGUGACUGUAUGACUAGAGUACGGUAGAGAGGGGUGGAAUUCCUGGUGUAGCAGUGAAAUGCGUAGAUAUCAAGUGGAACACCAGUGGCGAAGGCGAGUCUCUGGACAUUUCCUGACGCUGAGGCACGAAAGCCAGGGGAGCAAACGGG
rnacentral:rRNA from 1 species